AGGACGAACGCUGGCGGCGUGCCUAAUACAUGCAAGUCUAAGGGGGUCUAGUUCCUUCGGGAGCUAGAUCACUGGCGCACGGGUGAGUAACGCGUAAGUAAUCUGCCCCUGGGUCUGGCAUAACCUCGGGAAACCGGGACUAAUUCCAGAUGAUACCGAAAGGUCAAAGAAUUUCGCCUAGGGAUGAGCUUGCGUCUGAUUAGCUAGUUGGCGGGUAAUGGCCCACCAAGGCGACGAUCAGUAGCCGGUCUGAGAGGAUGAUCGGCCACAUUGGGACUGAGACACGGCCCAGACUCCUACGGGUGCAGCAGUAAGGAAUAUUGCG
rnacentral:rRNA from 1 species